AUUGAACGCUGGCGGCAUGCUUUACACAUGCAAGUCGAACGGUAACAGGCCGCAAGGUGCUGACGAGUGGCGAACGGGUGAGUAAUGCAUCGGAACGUGCCCAGUCGUGGGGGAUAACUGCUCGAAAGAGCAGCUAAUACCGCAUACGAUCUAUGGAUGAAAGCGGGGGACCGUAAGGCCUCGCGCGAUUGGAUCGGCCGAUGUCAGAUUAGGUAGUUGGUGGGGGAAAGGCUCACCAAGCCAACGAUCUGUAGCUGGUCUGAGAGGACGACCAGCCACACUGGGACUGAGACACGGCCCAGACUCCUACUGGAGGCAGCAGUGGGGAAUUUUGGACAAUGGGGGAAACACUGAUCCAGCAAUGCCGCGUGCAGGAAGAAGGCCUUCGGGUUGUAAACUGCUUUUGUACGGAACGAAACGGUCUGGGUUAAUACCCUGGGCUAAUGACGGUACCGUAAGAAUAAGCACCGGCUAACUACGUGCCAGCAGCCGCCGCGGUAA
rnacentral:rRNA from 1 species